rnacentral:rRNA from 1 species
GAUGAACGCUGGCGGCGUGCUUAACACAUGCAAGUCGAACGGAAAGGCCCAAGCUUGCUUGGGUACUCGAGUGGCGAACGGGUGAGUAACACGUGGGUGAUCUGCCCUGCACUUCGGGAUAAGCCUGGGAAACUGGGUCUAAUACCGGAUAGGACGAUGGUUUGGAUGCCAUUGUGGAAAGUUAUUUCGGUGUGGGAUGAGCUCGCGGCCUAUCAGCUUGUUGGUGGGGUAAUGGCCUACCAAGGCGUCGACGGGUAGCCGGCCUGAGAGGGUGUACGGCCACAUUGGGACUGAGAUACGGCCCAGACUCCUACGGGAGGCAGCAGUGGGGAAUAUUGCACAAUGGGCGCAAGCCUGAUGCAGCGACGCCGCGUGGGGGAUGACGGCCUUCGGGUUGUAAACUCCUUUCGCUAGGGACGAAGCGUUUUUGUGACGGUACCUGGAGAAGAAGCACCGGCUAACUACGUG